rnacentral:RNase_P_RNA from 1 species
UCGGCUGGCUAUGCGGUCGCGGGAGGUGUGCCUCUCGAGGAAAGUCCGGACACCGAAGGGCGCGGGCGGUGGGUGAAUCCCACCCGGGGAAACCCGCGGGAAAGUGCCACAGAAACACACGGCCGAUGGCGCGCCAGUCACGUGAGCGCGCACAGGUAAAGGUGAAAGGGUGCGGUAAGAGCGCACCGGCGUCGCGGCGACGCGGCGGCCAGGCAAACCCCGCCCGGUGCAAGGCCAAGCAGGAUCGUUGACCCGGCCCGGCGAGAUCCAGGUGGGCCGCAGGGCGAAAGCCCCGCCGAGACCCAGGUCCCGGCGAGACGGAUGACCGCGCAAGACAGAAUCCGGCUUACCGGCCAGCUAAGGAA